UACAGAGGGUGCAAGCGUUGUUCGGAAUUAUUGGGCGUAAAGAGCGUGUAGGCGGUUCGGUAGGUCCGUUGUGAAAACUCGAGGCUCAACCUCGAGACGCCGAUGGAAACCAUCGAACUAGAGUCCGGAAGAGGAGAGUGGAAUUCCUGGUGUAGCGGUGAAAUGCGCAGAUAUCAGGAAGAACACCCGUGGCUAAGGCGGCUCUCUAGUACGGUACUGACGCUGAGACGCGAAAGCGUGGGGGAGCGAACAGG
rnacentral:rRNA from 1 species